UACAGAGGGUGCAAGCGUUACUCGGAAUUACUGGGCGUAAAGGGCGCGUAGGCGGUUAUGUAAGUGAGAUGUGAAAUCCCUGGGCUUAACCUAGGAACUGCAUCUCAUACUGUGUAACUAGAGUAUUGUAGAGGGUAGUGGAAUUUCCGGUGUAGCGGUGAAAUGCGUAGAUAUCUGGAGGAACACCGGUGGCGAAGGCGGCGUCCUGGACCAACACUGACACUGAGGAGCGAAAGCCAGGGGAGCAAACGGG
rnacentral:rRNA from 1 species